rnacentral:rRNA from 1 species
GAUGAACGCUGGCGGCGUGCUUAACACAUGCAAGUCGAACGGAAAGGCCCUGCUCUUGUGGGGUGCUCGAGUGGCGAACGGGUGAGUAACACGCGAGUAACCUGCCCUUGACUUUGGGAUAACUUCAGGAAACUGGGGCUAAUAUCGGAUAGGAGCUCCUGCUGCAUGGUGGGGGUUGGAAAGUUUCGGCGGUUGGGGAUGGUCUCGCGGCUUACCAGCUUGUUGGGGGGGUAGUGGCUUACCAAGGCUUCGACGGGUAGCCGGCCUGGGAGGGUGGCCGGCCACCUUGGGACUGAGGUACGGCCCAGUCUGGUACGGGAGGCAGCGGUGGGAAAUAUUGCGCAGUGGGCGGGAGCCUGAUACAGAGGCGCCGCGUGCGGAAUGACGGCCUUCGGGUUAUAAACCGCUUUCGCCUGUGACGAAGCGUGAGUGACGGUAAUGGGUAAAGAAGCACCGGCUAACUACGUG